CGGUAUUUCGUGUGGUAUUCAUAUAGCCUUGUUUUCAAUUUUAUGCAACGGAUUAUGCCUAUGAUUGCGUAUCGUUUAUCUAUUAUUGCAAAUCCCUCAUUCACACGGAUGACAAAAGUGGUCACCAUCGAACCACAAUGGACGAACUAUAAAUUGUAACGGAUGCAAGUAUUCCAGAAAGGCUCAUCGUCAGGGAGUAGAAAAACCUUAAUCAAGUCAGAGUAGCAUAAGCAAGGAAUUUUCACAAUGGGAUGCAGCGCGACAAAGGCGGCAUCACACCAAAAGGCACACCCGAAGAAGGCGACCCAAAAACACAAGCGCGAUGGUGGAGACGACUAUGAUGCCGGAGAUGGUGGAGGCGGCGACGAUGGAGGGGGCCUUGACGCAGGCGGAAAUGAUGAAGGUGGCUACGAAGCAGGGGGAAAUAAUGGAGGAGGCGGAUUUGAUGGUGGUGGGUUCAGCGGUGGUGGAGAAUGAAAUUGAGCAAGACAUAGUUUUGUUUUCAUAAGUAUUAUCAGCAAAUCUAUUUUUGAAGACAUUUGAUUUUAGUAGAAUGAAAUGUCUUAAGUCAUGACACAUCAAUUUAACACUGCAGACCGUUUGUUGAUUUGUGUUUACACUUUUGGAAUUAUUGCAAGCUGUUGAAUUGUUUACAAAUUGGAUAUAUUUAUACGAGAUGAAAUAAAUUCAAUUUAAUGAUUGAGUUA